AUGAACGCUAGCUACAGGCUUAACACAUGCAAGUCGCGGGGCAGCAUGAAGUCAGCUUGCUGACUUUGAUGGCGACCGGCGCACGGGUGAGUAACGCGUAUCCAACCUGCCUGUUACCACGGCACAGCCCGUCGAAAGGCGGAUUAAUGCCGUAUGUGGUCUUGAAAGGGCAUCUGAUCAUGACUAAAGGUUCAGCGGUAACGGAUGGGGAUGCGUCCGAUUAGCUAGACGGCGGGGUAACGGCCCACCGUGGCUACGAUCGGUAGGGGUUCUGAGAGGAAGGUCCCCCACACUGGAACUGAGACACGGUCCAGACUCCUACGGGAGGCAGCAGUGAGGAAUAUUGAUCAAUGGGCGUAAGCCUGAACCAGCCAAGUAGCGUGAGGGAAGACUGCCCUAUGGGUUGUAAACCUCUUUUGUGCGGGGAUAAAGUGUGGGACGUGUCCCAUAUUGCAGGUACCGCACGAAUAAGGACCGGCUAAUUCCGUGCCAGCAGCCGCGGUAAUACGGAAGGUCCGGGCGUUAUCCGGAUUUAUUGGGUUUAAAGGGAGCGCAGGCCGUCCUUUAAGCGUGCUGUGAAAUGCCGCGGCUCAACCGUGGCACUGCAGCGCGAACUGGAGGACUUGAGUACGCACGAGGUAGGCGGAAUUCGUGGUGUAGCGGUGAAAUGCUUAGAUAUCACGAAGAACUCCGAUUGCGAAGGCAGCUUACCGGAGCGCAACUGACGCUGAGGCUCGAAAGCGCGGGUAUCGAACAGGAUUAGAUACCCUGGUAGUCCGCGCGGUAAACGAUGGAUGCCCGCCGUUGGGAUUUGGAUUUCAGCGGCCAAGCGAAAGCGUUAAGCAUCCCACCUGGGGAGUACGCCGGCAACGGUGAAACUCAAAGGAAUUGACGGGGGCCCGCACAAGCGGAGGAACAUGUGGUUUAAUUCGAUGAUACGCGAGGAACCUUACCCGGGUUUGAACGCAGUCUGACCGCCGAUGAAAGUCGGCUUCUAGCAAUAGCGGAUUGCGAGGUGCUGCAUGGUUGUCGUCAGCUCGUGCCGUGAGGUGUCGGCUCAAGUGCCAUAACGAGCGCAACCCCUGUCCAUAGUUGCCAUCAGGUUAUGCUGGGCACUCUGUGGAGACUGCCGCCGUAAGGUGUGAGGAAGGUGGGGAUGACGUCAAAUCAGCACGGCCCUUACGUCCGGGGCUACACACGUGUUACAAUGGGGCAUACAGCGAGUUGGAUGUGCGCAAGUACGUCCGGAUCAAUAAAGUGCCUCUCAGUUCGGACUGGGGUCUGCAACCCGACCCCACGAAGCUGGAUUCGCUAGUAAUCGCGCAUCAGCCAUGGCGCGGUGAAUACGUUCCCGGGCCUUGUACACACCGCCCGUCAAGCCAUGAAAGCCGGGGGCGCCUGAAGUCCGUGACCGCGAGGGUCGGCCUAGGGUGAAACCGGUGAUUGGGGCU
rnacentral:rRNA from 1 species